rnacentral:rRNA from 1 species
CUGGCGGCGUGCUUAACACAUGCAAGUCGAACGCGAAAGGGACUUCGGUCCCGAGUAGAGUGGCGCACGGGUGAGUAACGCGUAAGUAAUCUACCCCUGUAUCUGGAAUAACCCACCGAAAGGUGAGCUAAUACCGGAUACGUUUAUCUUGAUGCGAAUGAUGAUAAAGAAAGGUGGCCUCUUCAUGAAAGCUACCGUACAGGGACGAGCUUGCGUACCAUUAGCUGGUUGGUAGGGUAAUGGCCUACCAAGGCGACGAUGGUUAGCGGGUCUGAGAGGAUGAUCCGCCACACUGGAACUGAAACACGGACCAGACUCCUACGGGAGGCAGCAGUGAGGAAUGUUGCGCACUGGGGGCAACCCUGACGCAGCGACGCCGCGUGGACGAUGAAGGCCCUUGGGUCGUAAAAUCCUGUCAGAUGGAAAGAAAUGUACAGGUGUUAAUAUCGCCUGUAUUUGACGGUACCAUCAAAGGAA